rnacentral:rRNA from 1 species
UACAGAGGGUGCGAGCGUUGUUCGGAAUUAUUGGGCGUAAAGGGCGCGUAGGCGGCGCCACAAGUCACCUGUGAAAACUCUGGGCUCAACCCAGAGCUUGCAGGCGAAACUGUGGUGCUGGAGUAUGGGAGAGGUGCGUGGAAUUCCCGGUGUAGCGGUGAAAUGCGUAGAGAUCGGGAGGAAUACCGAUGGCGAAAGCAACCGUCUGGGCCUGAACUGACACUGAGACGCGAAAGCGUGGGGAGCGAACAGG